CUAACCUCGUUGGCACCGAAUAAGUUCUCACGAACUGGGUUUAGCUGCGAAUAUGUGCUGCACUGAUCUAGCAAGCUAGGCGACGUUUUGGAGUGCAGCAUCAUUUGCACUGGCGCCGCCGAGGGUCAGGCAAGGGUUCCAGGAUCAACGUCAACUCAAACCUGCACUGAGGAGUUCUCCAGCCAGAGCAAAACUUACAUUAAAAAUAAUUCAAUAAACAAUUUGUUUGAAAUUA